rnacentral:rRNA from 1 species
CUACGGGGCGCUCCAGUGGGGAAUAUUGCACAAUGGGGGAAACCCUGAUGCAGCAACGCCGCGUGGAGGAUGACGCAUUUCGGUGUGUAAACUCCUUUUAUAUAGGAAGAUAAUGACGGUACUAUAUGGAUAAGCACCGGCUAACUCCGUGCCAGCAGCCGCGGUAAUACGGAGGGUGCAAGCGUUACUCGGAAUCACUGGGCGUAAAGCGCGCGCAGGCGGCCCCUUAAGUUGGAUGUGAAAGCCUACGGCUUAACCGUAGAACUGCAUCCAAAACUGAGGGGCUAGAGUCUGGGAGGGGAAGAUGGAAUUAGUUGUGUAGGGGUAAAAUCCGUAGAGAUAACUAGGAAUACCAAAAGCGAAGGCGAUCUUCUGGAACAGUACUGACGCUGAGGCGCGAAAGCGUGGGGAGCAAACAGGAUUAGAUACCCUUGUAGUC